rnacentral:rRNA from 1 species
GCAAAAGCCGGGCCACAAGCGUGGGUAAGACGGGAGAGGCAAGUGUGAAGCGGACAUAAGGGGCGGAAAGGGAAAGCAGGCGGUUGGUCAAGUCGGAUGGGAAAUCCCCUGGCUCAACCGGGGAACGGCAUUUGAAACUGGCAGACUAGAGUAUUGUAGAGGGGGGUAGAAUUCCAGGUGUAGCGGUGAAAUGCGUAGAGAUCUGGAGGAAUACCGGUGGCGAAGGCGACCCCCUGGACAAAGACUGACGCUCAGGUGCGAAAGCGUGGGGAGCAAACAGGAUUAGAUACCCGAGUAGUC